GCUGGAGUGGCGGAACUGGUAGACGCGCUAGCUUCAGGUGCUAGUGACCGUAAGGUCGUGGAGGUUCGAGUCCUCUCUCCAGCACAA
rnacentral:tRNA from 1 species